AGUGAACGCUGGCGGUAGGCCUAACACAUGCAAGUCGAACGGCAGCACAGUAAGAGCUUGCUCUUACGGGUGGCGAGUGGCGGACGGGUGAGGAAUACAUCGGAAUCUACUUUUUCGUGGGGGAUAACGUAGGGAAACUUACGCUAAUACCGCAUACGACCUACGGGUGAAAGCAGGGGAUCUUCGGACUUUGCGCGAUUGAAUGAGCCGAUGUCGGAUUAGCUAGUUGGCGGGGUAAAGGCCCACCAAGGCGACGAUCCGUAGCUGGUCUGAGAGGAUGAUCAGCCACACUGGAACUGAGACACGGUCCAGACUCCUACGGGAGGCAGCAGUGGGGAAUAUUGGACAAUGGACGAAAGCCUGAUCCAGCCAUACCGCGUGGGUGAAGAAGGCCUUCGGGUUGUAAAGCCCUUUUGUUGGGAAAGAAAAGCAGCAGGUUAAUACCCCGCUGUUAUGACGGUACCCAAAGAAUAAGCACCGGCUAACUUCGUG
rnacentral:rRNA from 1 species